rnacentral:tRNA from 1 species
UGGGGUGUGGCUCAGUGGUCAGCGCUUGCCUAGCAUGCCCGAGGCCCUGGGGUCCAUCCCCAGCACCACAA